CAGGACGAACGCUGGCGGCGUGCCUAAUACAUGCAAGUCGAACGGUCUUUUCUAUGGAAGCUUGCUUCCACUGAGAAGAUAGUGGCGAACGGGUGAGUAACACGUGGGUAACCUGCCCAUAAGAGGGGGAUAACAUCCGGAAACGGGUGCUAAUACCGCAUAGUUUUCUUGAUCGCAUGAUCGGGAAAGGAAAGACGGCCUUUGUGCUGUCGCUUAUGGAUGGACCCGCGGCGUAUUAGUUAGUUGGUGAGGUAACGGCUCACCAAGACGAUGAUACGUAGCCGACCUGAGAGGGUGAUCGGCCACAUUGGGACUGAGACACGGCCCAAACUCCUACGGGAGGCAGCAGUAGGGAAUCUUCCGCAAUGGACGAAAGUCUGACGGAGCAACGCCGCGUGAGUGAAAAGUAAGGUUUUCGGAUCGUAAAACUCUGUUGUCAGAGAAGAACAAGUUGGAGAGUAACUGCUCCAGCCUUGACGGUAUCUGACCAGAAAGCCACGGCUAACUACGUGCCAGCCGCCGC
rnacentral:rRNA from 1 species